GGAGGAUGGAAAGCUGAACAAGCUCUGCCGUGAUGAACUGUGCCGCUGUGCUGAGGAGAAUUGCUUCAUACAAAAGUCGGAUGACAAGGUCACCCUGGAAGAACGGCUGGACAAGGCCUGUGAGCCAGGAGUGGACUAUGUGUACAAGACCCGACUGGUCAAGGUUCAGCUGUCCAAUGACUUUGACGAGUACAUCAUGGCCAUUGAGCAGACCAUCAAGUCAGGCUCGGAUGAGGUGCAGGUUGGACAGCAGCGCACGUUCAUCAGCCCCAUCAAGUGCAGAGAAGCCCUGAAGCUGGAGGAGAAGAAACACUACCUCAUGUGGGGUCUCUCCUCCGAUUUCUGGGGAGAGAAGCCCAAGUGAGUGCUUUC
rnacentral:lncRNA from 1 species